AAAUUGAAGAGUUUGAUCAUGGCUCAGAUUGAACGCUGGCGGCAGGCCUAACACAUGCAAGUCGAACGGUAACAGGAAGAAGCUUGCUUCUUUGCUGACGAGUGGCGGACGGGUGAGUAAUGUCUGGGAAACUGCCUGAUGGAGGGGGAUAACUACUGGAAACGGUAGCUAAUACCACAUAACGUCGCAAGACCAAAGAGGGGGACCUUCGGGCCUCUUGCCAUCGGAUGUGCCCAGAUGGGAUUAGCUAGUAGGUGGGGUAACGGCUCACCUAGGCGACGAUCCCUAGCUGGUCUGAGAGGAUGACCAGCCACACUGGAACUGAGACACGGUCCAGACUCCUACGGGAGGCAGCAGUGGGGAAUAUUGCACAAUGGGCGCAAGCCUGAUGCAGCCAUGCCGCGUGUAUGAAGAAGGCCUUCGGGUUGUAAAGUACUUUCAGCGGGGAGGAAGGGAGUAAAGUUAAUACCUUU
rnacentral:rRNA from 1 species